GCCAAAAAUCUAGCCCCACCCAAUUAUAUUCAACACUUUAAUACCCUAAAUAAACUAAAACAUUUUUACAUCUUAGUAAAGGCGAUCGAAAAAUUAAUCAAGAGCUAUAACAAUAGUACCGCAAGGAAAAGAUGAAAUAAAAAUGAAAUAAAUCUUAAGCACCCAAAAAGCAGAGAUAGCCCCUCGUACCUUUUGCAUCAUGAUUUAACUAGUUUAAACAAGCAAAAAGCACUAAAGUUUGCCCCCCCGAAACUAAACGAGCUACUUCGGGGCAGCUUAAUGAGCCAACCCGUCUCUGUUGCAAAAGAGUGGGACGACCCCCAAGUAGCGGUGACAGACCUAACGAGUUUAGUGAUAGCUGGUUACUUAAGAAAAGGAUUUAAGUCCUACCUAGAGCAUUUUUAAUACUUCAAAUACCCCUCAUGCUUUAGAAACACUCAACCGAGGUACAGCCCGUUUGAGAUAAGGAUACAACCUACACUAACGGGUAACCUCUACCUACCUAUAAUUAAGUGGGCCUAAAAGCAGCCACCUUUACAAUAGCGUCAAAGCUUACUUAUAUUUAACCCUAAUUCCACUACCUUAUUAGAACCCUUUAACACUAUUAAGUAACUCUAUAAUCCUAUAGAAGUUAUUAUGUUAAAACUAGUAACAAGAAGAAGCCCUUCUCUUAAAUGCAAGUAUAAAUCAGAAGGACAAACCACUGACAAUUAACGCUAAUGAGUACAAAACAACAACACCACUAGAAAACCCUGUUUUCCACAACGUUAACCUAACACUAGAGCAUUACAAGAAAGAUUAAAAGAAAAAGAAGGAACUCGGCAAACAUUAACCUCGCCUGUUUACCAAAAACAUCGCCUCUUGCUAAAAUAUAAGAGGUCCAGCCUGCCCAGUGACUAAGUUCAACGGCCGCGGUAUCCUAACCGUGCGAAGGUAGCGUAAUCACUUGUUCUUUAAAUGAGGACUAGUAUGAAUGGCACCACGAAGGUUACACUGUCUCCUUUUUCUAAUCAAUGAAACUGAUCUCCCCGUGAAGAAGCGGGGAUAAAUAUAUAAGACGAGAAGACCCUAUGGAGCUUUAAACUAUAUAGCACUGGCCCCUACUUUAUUAAAUUCCAGAACUACAAUACCUAUUCUAGCCUUAAUGACUAUUAGUUUUAGGUUGGGGUGACCGCGGAGCAAAAAUUAACCUCCACAUUGAAAGGAGCAUCUUCUGAGCUUAGAACUUCGUCUCCAAGCACCAAUAAACUGACAUACAUUGACCCAAUAUUUUGAUCAACGAACCAAGUUACCCUAGGGAUAACAGCGCAAUCCACUUUAAGAGCCCUUAUCGACAAGUGGGUUUACGACCUCGAUGUUGGAUCAGGGUCUCCUAGUGGUGCAGCCGCUACUAAUGGUUCGUUUGUUCAACGAUUAAAACCCU
rnacentral:rRNA from 1 species